AGCAGCCGCGGUAAUUCCAGCUCCAAUAGCGUAUAUCAAAGUUGUUGCAGUUAAAAAGCUCGUAGUUGAAUUUCGGGGUUAGUAGGUUGGUCAUGCCUCUGGUAUGUACUGGUCUCACUGAUUCCUCCUUCCUGAUGAACCUUAAUGCCAUUUAUUUGGUGUUUUGGGGAAUUUGGACUGUUACUUUGAAAAAAUUAGAGUGUUUAAAGCAAGCUAACGCUUGAAUACAUUAGCAUGGAAUAAUGAAAUAGGACGUUCGAUCCUAUUUUGUUGGUUUCUAGGAUUGACGUAAUGAUUAAUAGGGAUAGUUGGGGGCAUUAGUAUUCAAUUGUCAGAGGUGAAAUUCUUGGAUUUAUUGAAGACUAACUACUGCGAAAGCAUUUGCCAAGGAUGUUUUCAUUAAUCAAGAACGAAAGUUAGGGGAUCGAAGACGAUCAGAUACCGUCGUAGUCUUAACCAUAAACUAUGCCGACUAGGGAUCGGAUGAUGUUAAUUUUUUAAUGACUCA
rnacentral:rRNA from 1 species